rnacentral:rRNA from 1 species
UACGGAGGAUCCGAGCGUUAUCCGGAUUUAUUGGGUUUAAAGGGUGCGCAGGCGGAAGAUUAAGUCGGUGGUGAAAUUUUGCAGCUCAACUGUAAAAGUGCCUUCGAAACUGGUUUCCUUGAGUGUGGAUGAAGUAGGCGGAAUUUGUGGUGUAGCGGUGAAAUGCAUAGAUAUCACGAGGAACUCCGAUUGCGCAGGCAGCUUACUAAACCAUAACUGACGCUCAGGCACGAAGGCGUGGGGAUCAAACAGGAUUAGAUACCCCUGUA